rnacentral:tRNA from 1 species
GGAAAAAUAGCUCAGUUGGUUAGAGUGGUAGCUUGUCACGCUAUAGGUCGCGGGUUCGAGUCCCGUUUUUUAAGUUUA